rnacentral:rRNA from 1 species
GACGUAGGGCGCGAGCGUUGUCCGGAUUUAUUGGGCGUAAAGAGCUCGUAGGCGGUGUGUCGCGUCGGCCGUGAAAACCUGCAGCUUAACUGUGGGCUUGCGGUCGAUACGGGCAUCACUGGAGUUCGGCAGGGGAGACUGGAAUUCCUGGUGUAGCGGUGAAAUGCGCAGAUAUCAGGAGGAACACCGGUGGCGAAGGCGGGUCUCUGGGCCGAUACUGACGCUGGAGACGCGAAAGCGUGGGGAGCAAACAGG